rnacentral:rRNA from 1 species
UACGUAGGUGGCAAGCGUUGUCCGGAUUUACUGGGCGUAAAGGAUGCGUAGGCGGACAUUUAAGUCAGAUGUGAAAUACCCGAGCUUAACUUGGGUGCUGCAUUUGAAACUGGGUGUCUAGAGUGCAGGAGAGGUAAGUGGAAUUCCUAGUGUAGCGGUGAAAUGCGUAGAGAUUAGGAAGAACACCGGUGGCGAAGGCGGCUUCUGGGACCUGAUACUGACGCUGAGGAGCGAAAGUGUGGGGAGCGAACAGG